UCCCCCGUCCCCUGCUCCCUUUCUUACACAAGGCGGCAGGUUAUCUCAGGCUUCUUAAGCCGUGACGAGAAAAUCAAGCUUAAGAAACUUUUCAAGGAAACACAAGUGAGAAGUAGCCAAUCUGGGAUUCAAGUUACCUGACUAGAAACCUAUGCUUUUUCUACUACAUCCACAUUUAAAAAGCCUCACAAACUUGAAAAGUGCAUGUUAAUUUAUCCGAGCAAUAUUUUGUGUCUUAAGACUUCCUCUCCAUUAAUCUAUGUUAAAGAAGAAAGGAAUGAAAGUGGACCUCUAUCUUACACUAUCUACAAAAAUAAAUUCAAAAUGGAUUAAAGGCAUGCAAUGUAAGAAUUGAAACCAUGAUACCCCUUAAAGAAAACAUAGGCAAUAAGCUCUUUCAAAUCAUUAUGUUGUACACUUUGAAACUAACAUGUUAA